rnacentral:lncRNA from 1 species
CUUAUGUUCUGUUAUUCCACAAGUUGCCAUGGAAAUGAGCUUGAGGUUGCAGAUUUAGUGAAGUAUCCUAUCUUGUGAAACAAAGGCAAGAGGGAAGUAAUGCUGUGGGCCAGAAGCCUCGUGUGAGAGUCUGUUGCCUGAGAUCAGCCGAGGCUACUAACAUUUUCCUGAGGAAGGAACACAUACAAGGGAGAAGGAACAAUGAACUUGAGAGCAUCAAGCUACUUAAAAAUAAGGUUCACUGCCACCUCCCCCACCAUACUUUACUGUCCCUGAGAGAGUACACACACAGUUCACUCUGGAAGCUACACAGCUGA